rnacentral:rRNA from 1 species
GAUGAACGCUGGCGGCGUGCCUAAUACAUGCAAGUCGAGCGAACGGACGAGAAGCUUGCUCUUCUGAUGUUAGCGGCGGACGGGUGAGUAACACGUGGAUAACCUACCUAUAAGACUGGGAUAACUUCGGGAAACCGGAGCUAAUACCGGAUAAUAUUUCGAACCGCAUGGUUCAAAAGUGAAAGACGGUUUUGCUGUCACUUAUAGAUGGAUCCGCGCUGCAUUAGCUAGUUGGUAAGGUAACGGCUUACCAAGGCAACGAUGCAUAGCCGACCUGAGAGGGUGAUCGGCCACACUGGAACUGAGACACGGUCCAGACUCCUACGGGAGGCAGCAGUAGGGAAUCUUCCGCAAUGGGCGAAAGCCUGACGGAGCAACGCCGCGUGAGUGAUGAAGGUCUUCGGAUCGUAAAACUCUGUUAUUAGGGAAGAACAUAUGUGUAAGUAACUGUGCACGUCUUGACGGUACCUAAUCAGAAAGCCACGGCUAACUACGUG